GACGUAGGGCGCGAGCGUUGUCCGGAUUUAUUGGGCGUAAAGAGCGCGCAGGCGGUCGUUCAAGUCGCGUGUGAAAGCCCCCGGCUCAACUGGGGAGGGUCACGCGAUACUGAUCGACUCGAAGGCAGGAGAGGGAAGUGGAAUUCCCGGUGUAGUGGUGAAAUGCGUAGAUAUCGGGAGGAACACCAGUGGCGAAGGCGACUUCCUGGCCUGUUCUUGACGCUGAGGCGCGAAAGCUGGGGGAGCAAACGGGG
rnacentral:rRNA from 1 species